UCCGGUUUAACACCGGCAGUCUCUCUAGAGUGCCCAACUUAAUGGUGGCAACUAGAGACAAGGGUUGCGCUCGUUGCGGGACUUAACCCAACAUCUUACGACACGAGCUGACGACAGCCAUGCAGCACCUGUCUCCAUGCCCCCGAAGGGGACACCACAUCUCUGUGGCUGUCAUGGGAUGUCAAGACCAGGUAAGGUUCUGCGCGUUGCUUCGAAUUAAACCACAUACUCCACCGCUUGUGCGGGCCCCCGUCAAUUCCUUUGAGUUUUAGCCUUGCGACCGUACUCCCCAGGCGGGAUACUUAAUGCGUUAGCUACGGCACUCAGAGGGUUAACUCUCCAAACGCCUAGUAUCCAUAGUUUACGGCGUGGACUAC
rnacentral:misc_RNA from 1 species